GAUGAACGCUGGCGGCGUGCCUAAUACAUGCAAGUCGAGCGAACGGACGAGAAGCUUGCUUCUCUAAUGUUAGCGGCGGACGGGUGAGUAACACGUGGAUAACCUACCUAUAAGACUGGGAUAACUUCGGGAAACCGUAGCUAAUACCGGAUAAUAUUUUGAACCGCAUGGUUCAAAAGUGAAAGACGGUCUUGCUGUCACUUAUAGAUGGAUCCGCGCUGCAUUAGCUAGUUGGUAAGGUAACGGCUUACCAAGGCAACGAUGCAUAGCCGACCUGAGAGGGUGAUCGGCCACACUGGAACUGAGACACGGUCCAGACUCCUACGGGAGGCAGCAGUAGGGAAUCUUCCGCAAAGGGCGAAAGCCUGACGGAGCAACGCCGCGUGAGUGAUGAAGGUCUUCGGAUCGUAAAACUCUGUUAUUAGGGAAGAACAUAUGUGUAAGUAACUGUGCACAUCUUGACGGUACCUAAUCAGAAAGCCACGGCUAACUACGUG
rnacentral:rRNA from 1 species